rnacentral:rRNA from 1 species
ACGGAGGGUGCAAGCGUUAUCCGGAUUCACUGGGUUUAAAGGGUGCGUAGGUGGGUUGGUAAGUCAGUGGUGAAAUCCCCGAGCUUAACUUGGGAACUGCCAUUGAUACUAUCAGUCUUGAAUAUUGUGGAGGUUAGCGGAAUAUGUCAUGUUGCGGUGAAAUGCUUAGAUAUGACAUAGAACACCAAUUGCGAAGGCAGCUGGCUACGCAUAUAUUGACACUGAGGCACGAAAGCGUGGGGAUCAAACAGGAUUAGAUACCCUGGUAGUCCACGCCCUAAACUAUGGAUACUCGACAUCAGCGAUACACUGUUGGUGUCUGAGCGAAAGCAUUAAGUAUCCCACCUGGGAAGUACGAUCGCGAGAUUG